UCACCUAUGAAAUUAUACUAAAACUAUUAUUCACCUCAGGCUCGGUGAUUAUCGUGAAUAAAAACCUCGACUUCGUCUCGGUUUUUAUUCACCGAUAAUCACCUCGCCUUCGGCGAAUAAUUGUUAAUUAUUAUAUUGAUUUUUUUCUGUGUUGGUGUUAUGUACUCAGGUGAAUAUGAUGUUUGUGAUGUUAUUCUGAGUGUAUAUCCACGCCAGGCAGGCUUGAAAAAUAUGCCUGGCCACAGUGGGAAUCGAACACGAUCUUUGGAAUACUCGUAGGUCCUAGGUUCGAUUCCCACCGUGGCCAGGCAUAUUUUUCAAGCCUGCCUGGCGUGGAUAUACACUAAGAGUAACAUCACAAACAUCAUAUUAUAUUAUUAUUAUAGAGAAUAUUACAAUUGCUUUCUUUAAAAUUCAACUGCAUUUUGUCAAGAGUUUUUAAUUCUUUUGUAAACAAUUUGGCAUAAACAAACUUGGG